rnacentral:rRNA from 1 species
AGUCAUUGUAGCGAUACAAGGCAGACGGCUCAGUAACGCGUAGUCAACCUAACCUAUGGACGGGGAUAACCUCGGGAAACUGAGAAUAAUACCCGAUAGAACAUUAUGCCUGGAAUGGUUUAUGUUUCAAAUAAUUUAUUGCCGUAGGAUGGGACUGCGGCCUAUCAGUUUGUUGGUGAGGUAAUGGCCCACCAAGACUAUUACAGGUACGGGCUCUGAGAGGAGUAGCCCGGAGAUGGGUACUGAGACACGGACCCAGGCCCUAUGGGGCGCAGCAGGCGAGAAAACUUUGCAAUGUGCGAAAGCACGACAAGGUUAAUCCGAGUGGUUUCUGCUAAAGGAACCUUUUGUUAGUCAUAGAACCACUAAUGAAUAAGGGGUGGGCAAGUUCUGGUGUCAGCCGCCGCGGUAAAACCAGCACCUCAAGUGGUCAGGAUGAUUAUUGGGCCUAAAGCAUCCGUAGGCUGCUUUGUAAGUUUUCGGUUAAAUCCAUACGCUCAACGUAUGGGCCGCCGGGAAUACUGCAAAGCUAGGGAGUGGGAGAGGUAGACGGUACUCGGUAGGAAGGGGUAAAAUCCUUUGAUCUAUUGAUGACCACCUGUGGCAAAGGCGGUCUACCAUAACACGUCCGACGGUGAGGGAUGAAAGCUGGGGGAGCAAACCGGAUUAUAUACCCGGGUAGUCCCAGCUGUAAACGAUGCAGACUCCUGUGAUGCGCUGGCUUGUGGCC